UACGGAGGGUGCAAGCGUUUGUCCGGAAUCACUGGGCGUAAAGGGCGCGUAGGCGGCUCAUGAAGGCUGUGGUGAAAGUCCGGGGCUCAACUCCGGAUCUGCGGUGGGUACGGGCAGACUAGAGUGAUGUAGGGGAGACUGGAAUUCCUGGUGUAGCGGUGAAAUGCGCAGAUAUCAGGAGGAACACCAACAGCGAAGGCAGAUCUCUGGGACGUUACUGACGCUGAGACGCGAAAGCGUGGGGAGCAAACAGG
rnacentral:rRNA from 1 species